GCUUACGGCCAUACCACCCUGAGCACGCCCGAUCUCAUCUGAUCUCGGAAGCUAAGCAGUGUCGGCCUGGUUAGAACUUGGAUGGGAGACCGCCUGGGAAUACCAGUGCUGUAAGCU
rnacentral:rRNA from 1 species